rnacentral:tRNA from 1 species
GGGGGGGGAGCUCAAGUGGUAGAGCGCAUGCUUAGCAUGCAUGAAGUUCUGGGUUCAAUCCUCAAUACCUCCU